CAGAUGCUAAUACCGGAUAAAAGCUACUUUCGCAUGAAAGAAGUUUAAAAGGCGGCGUAAAGCUGUCGCUAAAAGGGAUGGACCUGCGAUGCAUUAGCUAGUUGUAAGGUAACAGCUUACCAAGGCGAUGAUGCAUAGCCCGAGUUGAGAGACUGAUCAGCCACAUUGGGACUGAGACACGGCCCAAACUCCUACGGGAGGCAGCAGUAGGGAAUCUUCCACAAUGGACGAAAGUCUGAUGGAGCAACGCCGCGUGAGUGAAGAAGGUUUUCGGAUCGUAAAGCUCUGUUGUUGGUGAAGAAGGAUAGAGGUAGUAACUGGCCUUUAUUUGACGGUAAUCAACCAGAAAGUCACGGCUAACUACGUGCCAGCAGCCGCGGUAAU
rnacentral:rRNA from 1 species